GACGAACGCUGGCGGCGUGCUUAACACAUGCAAGUCGAGCGGUAAGGCCCUUUCGGGGUACGACGAGCGGCGAACGGGUGAGUAACACGUGGGUGACCUGCCCUCAGCUCUGGGAGUAAGCCUGGGAAACUGGGUCUAAUACUGGAUAUGACUCCACGGUGCAUGUCGUGGGGUGGAAAGCCUUGUGCGGCUGAGGAUGGGCCCGCGGCCUAUCAGCUUGUUGGUGGGGUGANGGCCUACCAAGGCGACGACGGGUAGCCGGCCUGAGAGGGCGACCGGCCACACUGGGACUGAGACACGGCCCAGACUCCUACGGGAGGCAGCAGUGGGGAAUCUUGCGCAAUGGGCGAAAGCCUGACGCAGCGACGCCGCGUGAGGGAUGACGG
rnacentral:rRNA from 1 species